rnacentral:ncRNA from 1 species
UAAAUGGAUGGGGAUGGAGCUCCCCGAAACCGCCUGAAAUGGCUGAUGGCUCCUGUCGCAAC